GAUGAACGCUGGCGGCGUGCCUAAUACAUGCCAGUCGAGCGAACAGACGAGGAGCUUGCUCCUCUGACGUUAGCGGCGGACGGGUGAGUAACACGUGGAUAACCUACCUAUAAGACUGGGAUAACUUCGGGAAUCCGGAGCUAAUACCGGAUAAUAUAUUGAACCGCAUGGUUCAAUAGUGAAAGACGGUUUUGCUGUCACUUAUAGAUGGAUCCGCGCCGCAUUAGCUAGUUGGUAAGGUAACGGCUUACCAAGGCAACGAUGCGUAGCCGACCUGAGAGGGUGAUCGGCCACACUGGAACUGAGACACGGUCCAGACUCCUACGGGAGGCAGCAGUAGGGAAUCUUCCGCAAUGGGCGAAAGCCUGACGGAGCAACGCCGCGUGAGUGAUGAAGGUCUUCGGAUCGUAAAACUCUGUUAUUAGGGAAGAACAAAUGUGUAAGUAACUAUGCACGUCUUGACGGUACCUAAUCAGAAAGCCACGGCUAACUACGUG
rnacentral:rRNA from 1 species